UGCUUGUCUCAAAGAUUAAGCCAUGCAUGUCUAAGUACAAGCCUCACUAAGGUGAAACCGCGAAUGGCUCAUUAUAUCACACCUAAUCUACUGGAUAGUUAACAGUUACUUGGAUAACUGCGGUAAUUCUGGAGCUAAUACAUGCACAAAGCCCCGAACUUACGUGAGGGGCGCUUUUAUUAGAUCAAAACCAAACGGCCUCGGCUGUUUUCUUGGUGACUCUGAAUAACUUUGGGCUGAUCGCAUAGCCUAGCGCUGGCGACAUAUCCUUCGAAGGUGUGCCCUAUCAACUGUCGACUGUGGCAUAGACGCCCACAGUGGUUUUGACGGGUAACGGGGAAUCAGGGUUCGAUUCCGGAGAGGGAGCCUUAAAAACGGCUACCACAUCUAAGGAAGGCAGCAGGCACGCAAAUUACCCAAUGAACGAAGUUCGAGGUAGUGACGAAAAAUAACGAUACAGGACUCAUCUGAGGCCCUGUAAUCCGGAAUGAGUACACUUUAAAACCGUCCCCGAGG
rnacentral:rRNA from 1 species